rnacentral:lncRNA from 1 species
CCUUAGACAGGAAUUUGGGCAUGGUAAAAAAAAAUCAAAGCUUAGUCCUCACUAACCUUUUAUUCUUUUCUUUUAGUACCAGCCAUAAACUCGUCUCAGUUUGGCUUUACAUUACUUCGUUUCCUGCAGCUGGCAUUGGCUGAGAAUAGGGAAGCCUUCAUGAAGAAAGCAGCAUGGCAUCUGGCCUUUGAAGGAUGGACAGAAUUUGGUCAUAUGAAAAUUGGUGUGAAGGGAGGGAAGAACAUUUCUUACAGAAGGAUAAUUGGAUUUCUCUGUGUCUUUUGAUUGAGGAUUGGCAUGCUCUGCUCUCAAAAUGUCUAACUGUCCGUUGGGGAGAAACUCCGUUCUGCAACAACCAAUAGAUCCUGGGCUGUUCUCCACACGAUGGGACAAGAAAGGGUCACUCUGCCCUGUCUGAGGUGGCUCCCUGGGGACUUGGGGGGAAAAAUAAUCUAGAAGAAAAAAGCUACUCACAGUUCUCCACCUGGAGGCUUCUGUUUGUAGGAAACAAAUUACGACAGUAAUAACUACGCUUCUACCACCUUCCUAGGUUCACCUUGGAGACGGAUUAAUGCUUCUGAGAUGGAGGGGUGUUGCUUGCUGUUAAGGUAAAAGUGUGAGUUCUUGCAACUCUCUUUUAAUGGCUUCUGGAAGUGGAGGCUGUCUGCCUCCUGCCUCUGAAAGCUGAACUGCAGAAUAUAACCUCUAAUUCCAGUUACUUAUCACAUCCACAAAG